UACGUAGGGUCCGAGCGUCGUCCGGAAUUAUUGGGCGUAAAGGGCUCGUAGGCGGUUUGUCGCGUCGGGAGUGAAAACACGGGGCUUAACCCCGUGCCUGCUUCCGAUACGGGCAGACUAGAGGUAUGCAGGGGAGAACGGAAUUCCUGGUGUAGCGGUGAAAUGCGCAGAUAUCAGGAGGAACACCGGUGGCGAAGGCGGUUCUCUGGGCAUUACCUGACGCUGAGGAGCGAAAGUGUGGGGAGCGAACAGG
rnacentral:rRNA from 1 species